GAUAUACUCCCUCCGUCCCAAAUUACUUGUCUUAGAUUUAUCUAGAUACGGAUGUAUCUAACACUAAAACAUGUCUAGAUACAUCCAUAUCUAGACAAAUUUAAGACAAGUAAUUUAGGACGGAGGGAGUACUAU
rnacentral:pre_miRNA from 1 species